CUACGGGCUGCUCCAGUGGGGAAUAUUGGUCAAUGGGGGAAACCCUGAUCCAGCAAUGCCGCGUGUGUGAAGAAGGCCUGCGGGUUGUAAAGCACUUUCGGUUGGGAGGACUGCUUCUAGCACUAAUAUUGUUGGAAGUUGACGUUACCUUCAGAAGAAGCACCGGCUAACUCCGUGCCAGCAGCCGCGGUAAUACGGAGGGUGCACGCGUUAAUCGGAAUUACUGGGCGUAAAGCGCGCGUAGGCGGCUAGAUCAGUCGGGUGUGAAAGCCCCGGGCUUAACCUGGGAACUGCAUCCGAUACUGUCUAGCUUGAGUACAGGAGAGGAGAGUGGAAUUCCACAUGUAGCGGUGAAAUGCGUAGAUAUGUGGAGGAACACCAAUGGCGAAGGCAGCUCUCUGGCCUGAUACUGACGCUGAGGUGCGAAAGCGUGGGGAGCAAACAGGAUUAGAUACCCUCGUAGUC
rnacentral:rRNA from 1 species